rnacentral:rRNA from 1 species
GUCUACGGCCAUGCCACCCUGAACAUGCCCAACCUCGUCUGAUCUCGGAAGCUAAGCAGGGUCUGGCCUGGUUAGUACUUAGAUGGGAGACCAUCUAGGAAGACCAGGUACUGUAGAUC